AUUGAACGCUGGCGGCAGGCCUAACACAUGCAAGUCGAACGGUAAUAGGAAGAAGCUUGCUUCUUUGCUGACGAGUGGCAGACGGGUGAGUAAUGUCUGGGAAACUGCCUGAUGGAGGGGGAUAACUACUGGAAACGGUAGCUAAUACCGCAUAACGUCGCAAGACCAAAAAGGGGGACCUUCGGGCCUCUUGCCAUCGGAUGUGCCCAGAUGGGAUUAGCUAGUAGGUGGGGCAACGGCUCACCCAGGCGACGAUCCCUAUCUGGUCUGAGAGGAUGACCAGCCACACUGGAACUGAGACACGGUCCAGACUCCUACGGGAGGCAGCAGUGGGGAAUAUUGGACAAUGGGCGCAAGCCUGAUGCAGCCAUGCCGCGUGUAUGAAGAAGGCCUGCGGGUUGUAAAGUACUUUCAUGGGGGAAGAAGAGAAUAACGUUAAUACCUGUACUCAUUGACGUUACCCGAAGAAGAAGCGCCGGCUAACUCCGUG
rnacentral:rRNA from 1 species